rnacentral:rRNA from 1 species
GAUGAACGCUGGCGGCGUGCCUAAUACAUGCAAGUCGAACGCUUCACUUCGGUGAAGAGUGGCGAACGGGUGAGUAAUACAUAAGUAACCUGGCAUCUACAGGGGGAUAGCUGAUGGAAACGUCAGCUAAGACCGCAUAGGUGUAGAGAUCGCAUGAACUCUAUAUGAAAAGUGCUACGGGACUGGUAGAUGAUGGACUUAUGGCGCAUUAGCUUGUUGGUAGGGUAACGGCCUACCAAGGCGACGAUGCGUAGCCGACCUGAGAGGGUGACCGGCCACACUGGGACUGAGACACGGCCCAGACUCCUACGGGAGGCAGCAGUAGGGAAUUUUCGGCAAUGGGGGAAACCCUGACCGAGCAACGCCGCGUGAAGGAAGAAGUAAUUCGUUAUGUAAACUUCUGUCAUAGAGGAUGAACGGUGGAUAUAGGGAAUGAUAUCCAAGUGACGGUACUCUAUAAGAAAGCCACGGCUAACUACGUG